AAGAUUCUAGUAAAAUACAUUACAUUGCCUUGUCAGGGCAAAAUCGUGAGUUCAAAUCUUGCGUAUCUUAACUU
rnacentral:tRNA from 1 species